rnacentral:rRNA from 1 species
AAGUAGCUUGCUACUUUGCUGACGAGCGGCGGACGGGUGAGUAAUGCCUGGGAAUUUGCCCAUUCGAGGGGGAUAACAGUUGGAAACGACUGCUAAUACCGCAUACGCCCUACGGGGGAAAGGAGGGGACCUUCGGGCCUUCCGCGAAUGGAUAAGCCCAGGUGGGAUUAGCUAGUAGGUGAGGUAAUGGCUCACCUAGGCGACGAUCCCUAGCUGUUCUGAGAGGAUGAUCAGCCACACUGGGACUGAGACACGGCCCAGACUCCUACGGGAGGCAGCAGUGGGGAAUAUUGCACAAUGGGCGAAAGCCUGAUGCAGCCAUGCCGCGUGUGUGAAGAAGGCCUUCGGGUUGUAAAGCACUUUCAGCGAGGAGGAAAGGUUACUGGCUAAUAUCCAGUAGCUGUGACGUUACUCGCAGAAGAAGCACCGGCUAACUCCGUGCCAGCAGCCGCGGUAAUACGGAGGGUGCGAGCGUUAAUCGGAAUUACUGGGCGUAAAGCGUGCGCAGGCGGUUUGUUAAGCGAGAUGUGAAAGCCCCGGGCUCAACCUGGGAACUGCAUUUUGAACUGGCAAACUAGAGUCUUGUAGAGGGGGGUAGAAUUCCAGGUGUAGCGGUGAAAUGCGU